rnacentral:tRNA from 1 species
GCGAGGUAGCUCAGCAGGUUAGAGCGUCGGAUUCAUAACCCGGAGGUCGGGAGUUCAAGUCUCCCUCUCGC